GUGGGAGGUAACAGGAAAUGAGGGGAGUAGAGUAGUAGUGUUUAUUAGGUGGGAAGGAUGAGGUUCUUGGCACAGUCAGAGAGGUUAGAUUUGAAGAACAGGUGGGAGACUGUUUGAGAGGCAACUGGGAGGAGAAUAAGGAAGUAGAGGCCUGAGUGUUUUGACGAGAUGAGGAUGGCUUUUGGGGAAGUUCCUGCAGCUUGAACUCUACAGUCAUUUCCUUGCUACAGGAGGCAAAGAAAUGCAAAGAGCUUUGUCACCUGAUCAGUUCAACAGUACCUACGUCAGACCACCAUGCAGACCAGAAAGCAUAAAACCCCACAAUACAGCUAACUAGCAUCAGUGGUGGAAAGGUUCUUCCCAAUGAAGACUGACAGAUUCUGGCCCAGCUGGAUACUCAGUUCCUAAUGGGGAUAGACAUUUUAUUCCCCACCUGGCCUGAAAGAGCCAGUUUUGGUGCCAGCUGGAAAGAGGGGGAGCAGAAGAAGAUGAUAAGCAAUGGAGGAGGAAGAAAAAGAACUGGACUGCAUGAGCAGCAACAAGGUCACAUUCUACGUCCUCAAUCAAACAGUCAGCCUAUGAUUAGCAGGAUUUGAGACAGU
rnacentral:lncRNA from 1 species